rnacentral:rRNA from 1 species
UCUCAGUUCGGAUUGGAGUCUGCAACCCGACUCCAUGAAGCUGGAUUCGCUAGUAAUCGCGCAUCAGCCACGGCGCGGUGAAUACGUUCCCGGGCCUUGUACACACCGCCCGUCAAGCCAUGGAAGCCGGGAGUGCCUGAAGUGCGUGAGCGCAAGCAGCGCCCUAAGGUAAAACCGGUGACUGGGGCUAAGUCGUAACAAGGUAUC